UGUGCCAGCAGCCGCGGUAAUACGUAGGGUGCGAGCGUUAAUCGGAAUUACUGGGCGUAAAGCGUGCGCAGGCGGUUUGUUAAGACGGAUGUGAAAUCCCCGGGCUCAACCUGGGAACUGCAUUCGUGACUGGCAAGCUAGAGUAUGGCAGAGGGGGGUAGAAUUCCACGUGUAGCAGUGAAAUGCGUAGAGAUGUGGAGGAAUACCGAUGGCGAAGGCAGCCCCCUGGGCCAAUACUGACGCUCAUGCACGAAAGCGUGGGGAGCAAACAGGAUUAGAUACCCUGGUAGUCCACGCCCUAAACGAUGUCAACUAGUUGUCGGGUCUUCAUUGACUUGGUAACGUAGCUAACGCGUGAAGUUGACCGCCUGGGGAGUACGGCCGCAAGAUUAAAACUCAAAGGAAUUGACGGGA
rnacentral:rRNA from 1 species